AAAUUACUAGAGCAUGGACACGCGCCUUGUUUUUAAGAUGGAAUCUACAGGAUUUGGCAACAUGCUGGAUGUGAGGCUCAAAGGUGAGGCCAUAAUCAAGUAUGACGCCAAGACAGCGCGCUUGCAAGGAUGGACUGAUGUGGGUACCUCAAACUUGAAGGGAGAGUGAAAGAGGAGGAUCAGUAUUAGGAGAAGGAAAGAUAAUGAGCUCCGUUUUAGAGAGAUUGUUUCAGAAAGCGGGAGGACAUCCAGUCAGAGAUGGAAGAAAGGCAAGCAGUGACACGUUGCAGGACGGCAUGGGAGAGGUCCCGGGAGGAAAGAUAUAACGGUGUCAUCAGCGUACAGGUGGUAGUGGAAUCCAAAAGAGGUAAUAAGUUUGCCAAGAGAGGCAGUAUGAAGAGAAAAUAGAAGGGGACCAAGGACAGAGCCUUGGGGGACUCCAACCGAGACAGGACGAGGGGAGGAGGUAUCAUUAGUAAAAGACACACUAAAUGUGCAUUGGGAGAGAUAAGAGGAAAACCACGGGAGGACAUAGUCACAGAGACCAAGGGAUUGAAGAGUUUGAAGAAGGAGAGCAUGAUCAACGGUGUCAAAGACCGCUGAGAGGUCAAGAAGAAUUAGUAUAGAGUAGUGGCCUUUGGAUUUAUCUGCGAUUAGGUCGUUAGUAACUUUGAUAAGCGCAGUCUCAGUAGAGUGGAGAGGGCGGAAGCCAGAUUGAAGAGGGUCAAGGAGAGAGUUGGAAUUGAGGAAAUGAGACACACGGGUAAAGACAAGUCUUUCCAGAAGCUUUGAGGAAAAAGGGAGCAGGGAUAUGGGACGAUAGUUAGAGGGGGUGGACAGGUCGAGGGAUGGUUUCUUUAGUAUAGGUACUACAGUGGCAUGUUUAAGGUCAGCAGGGACAAUGCCAGAAGAGAGAGAGCAGUUGAAGAAGGCACAGGACAAGUGGAGAGAGAUCUAAUAAGGUGAGAUGGGACAGGAUCGAGUGGGCAAGUGGUGGGGCGAGAGGAACAGAGAAGAGCAGCCACCUCUUGGUCAGUAGCCGGGGAGAAUGUCUGAAGGGUAGGAAAGGCAUGAUCUAUGUGUGGGUGAGAAACAGAAUGGCAAGGAGGGGAGAAUUUUUUCCUUAGCUGUUCAAUCUUGUCAGUAAAGUAACAUGCAAAGUUAUCAGCAGUAAGGUUAGUUUGGGGGGUGGCCACAGCAGGGCGAAGAAGAGAAUUAAAGGUGUCAAAGAGAUGCCUGGGAUUGCGGGAGCAUGAACUAAUGAGAGAGGAAAAGUAGGACUGUUUGGCAAGGAGUGGGCUGUAUGAACACUAUGAAUCUAUAAUGGAGAAAGUCUGACUGGGUGCGAGACUUCCUCCAGGAGCGUUCAGCACAACAGGAGGAUCUUUGCAGGUAGCGUGUUGAUUUAGUAUGCCAUGGUUGGGGGCGGGUUCUCCUCGAGGUGUAUGUUUGGAGCGGUGCUGCAGCAUUCAAGGCAGAGGUGAGGGUAGUGUUAUAUGCAGAGAUGGCCAGUGAAGGACAGGAAAGGGAAGGGAUGGAAAGCAGUUGUGAAUAAAUAUCAGCUGACAACUGCUGAAGAUCAAGAGAAUUAAGGUCCCUCCUGAGUUGAGGGGGGUUAGGCUGAGGUUGUUGGGUGAGGGGUUACACGAGAGCAAAUAUGAGGUGGUAAUCAGAGAGAGGAAAUGGAGUGUUGCAG